CCUACGGGGGGCAGCAGUGGGGAAUAUUGGACAAUGGGCGAAAGCCUGAUCCUGCCAUGCCGCGUGUGUGAAGAAGGCCUUCGGGUUGUAAAGCACUUUCAGUGGGGAAGAAAGCCUUGGGGCUAAUACCCUCGAGGAAGGACAUCACCCACAGAAGAAGCACCGGCUAACUCCGUGCCAGCAGCCGCGGUAAUACGGAGGGUGCGAGCGUUAAUCGGAAUUACUGGGCGUAAAGCGCGCGUAGGCGGUCUGAUAAGCCGGUUGUGAAAGCCCCGGGCUCAACCUGGGAACGGCAUCCGGAACUGUCAGGCUAGAGUGCAGGAGAGGAAGGUAGAAUUCCCGGUGUAGCGGUGAAAUGCGUAGAGAUCGGGAGGAAUACCAGUGGCGAAGGCGGUCUUCUGGACUGACACUGACGCUGAGGUGCGAAAGCGUGGGUAGCAAACAGGAUUAGAUACCCGUGUAGUC
rnacentral:rRNA from 1 species